GACGAACGCUGGCGGCGUGCCUAAUACAUGCAAGUAGAACGCACAGUUUAUACCGUAGCUUGCUACACCAUAAACUGUGAGUUGCGAACGGGUGAGUAACGCGUAGGUAACCUGCCUGGUAGCGGGGGAUAACUAUUGGAAACGAUAGCUAAUACCGCAUAAUAUUAAUUAUUGCAUGAUAAUUGAUUGAAAGAUGCAAUUGCAUCACUACCAGAUGGACCUGCGUUGUAUUAGCUAGUAGGUGAGGUAACGGCUCACCUGGGCGACGAUACAUAGCCGACCUGAGAGGGUGAUCGGCCACACUGGGACUGAGACACGGCCCAGACUCCUACGGGAGGCAGCAGUAGGGAAUCUUCGGCAAUGGACGAAAGUCUGACCGAGCAACGCCGCGUGAGUGAAGAAGGUUUUCGGAUCGUAAAGCUCUGUUGUAAGAGAAGAACGGGUGUGAGAGUGGAAAGUUCACACUGUGACGGUAGCUUACCAGAAAGGGACGGCUAACUACGUG
rnacentral:rRNA from 1 species